GGUCAGAAGAUGUCUUGGUUAUACAUGCUCCUGAUGAUUCAACAGCUGUGCAAGGUACAACUCCAUAUACACAUAGCAGUCCUGGCACUCCAGUCAACAUGCCAUGGCUCAGUAGUACACAGACUGGCAGAGGAGCAUCUGCGAUGAUUAAGAAAGCCAUUAAUAAUAUCAGAAGAAUGACUUCUCAUCCCACUCUUCCUUGCUUGUAAAAUGUUUGAGAAAAGGGUUCUGUCACCAAAAUAAAGAUGGAAAACAAAACAGAUAAAGCUCUCUGGAAUGGAAAGCUCUGUGUUCUAAUUC